rnacentral:rRNA from 1 species
GACGAACCGUGCAACCGUUGUUCGGAAUCACUGGGCUUAAAGGGCGCGUAGGCGGCUUGCCAAGUCAGGGGUGAAAUCUUUCGGCUUAACCGGAAAAGUGCCUGUGAUACUGGCAGGCUUGAGGGAGGUAGGGGCAUGUGGAACUUCCGGUGGAGCGGUGAAAUGCGUUGAUAUCGGAAGGAACGCCGGUGGCGAAAGCGGGUCUCUGGGCCGAUACUGACGCUGAGGAGCGAAAGCGUGGGGAGCGAACAGG